rnacentral:rRNA from 1 species
ACGGGUGAGUAAUAUAUCGGAACGUGCCCAGUCGUGGGGGAUAACUGCUCGAAAGAGCAGCUAAUACCGCAUACGACCUGAGGGUGAAAGCGGGGGAUCGCAAGACCUCGCGCGAUUGGAGCGGCCGAUAUCAGAUUAGGUAGUUGGUGGGGUAAAAGCCCACCAAGCCAACGAUCUGUAGCUGGUCUGAGAGGACGACCAGCCACACUGGGACUGAGACACGGCCCAGACUCCUACGGGAGGCAGCAGUGGGGAAUUUUGGACAAUGGGCGCAAGCCUGAUCCAGCCAUGCCGCGUGCGGGAAGAAGGCCUUCGGGUUGUAAACCGCUUUUGUCAGGGAAGAAAAGGUUCUGGUUAAUACCUGGGACUCAUGACGGUACCUGAAGAAUAAGCACCGGCUAACUACGUGCCAGCAGCCGCGGUAAUACGUAGGGUGCAAGCGUUAAUCGGAAUUACUGGGCGUAAAGCGUGCGCAGGCGGUUAUGCAAGACAGAGGUGAAAUCCCCGGGCUCAACCUGGGAACUGCCUUUGUGACUGCAUAGCUAGAGUGCGGCAGAGGGGGAUGGAAUUCCGCGUGUAGCAGUGAAAUGCGUA